CCCUUAGAUGUUCUGGGCCGCACACGCGCUACACUGAAGGAGGCAGCGUGUACUCCUGGAUCGAAAGAUUUGGGUAACCCGCGAAUCUCCUUCGUGCUAGGGAUUGAGGUUUGCAAUUAUCCUUCAUGAACGAGGAAUUCCCAGUAAGUGCAAGUCAUAAGCUUGCGCUGACUACGUCCCUGCCCUUUGUACACACCGCCCGUCGCUACUACCGAUUGAGUGAUCCGGUGAAUAAUUCGGACUGCGACACGGCAGAAAUGCUGUUGUUGCGGGAAGUUUAGUGAACCUUAUCACUUAGAGGAAGGAGAAGUCGUAACA
rnacentral:rRNA from 1 species